AGCUCCAAUAGCGUAUAUUUAAGUUGUUGCAGUUAAAAAGCUCGUAGUUGGAUUUCGGGCGGGGCCCGCCGAUCCGCCGUCAGGUGUGCACUGGCGCGGGCCCGCCUUGCUGCCGGGGACGGGCUCCUAGACUUCACUGUCCGGGACCCGGAGUCGGCGAGGUUACUUUGAGUAAAUUAGAGUGUUCAAAGCAGGCCUACGCUCUGAAUACAUUAGCAUGGAAUAACACGAUAGGACUCUGGCCUAUCUUGUUGGUCUGUGGGACCGGAGUAAUGAUUAAGAGGGACGGUCGGGGGCAUUCGUAUUUCAUUGUCAGAGGUGAAAUUCUUGGAUUUAUGAAAGACGAACUUCUGCGAAAGCAUUUGCCAAGGAUGUUUUCA
rnacentral:rRNA from 1 species